rnacentral:lncRNA from 1 species
AAGCCGGCUCUCCUUCAUGUUUUUUUUUAUGUAGCCCAAAACAGUCUCAAUCCGUUUAGUUAAUUGUCCUUCAGAAUUAGCCUCUAAUAUUAACAUGAUGCCAUUGGCGUAUAUAUCAAUUAUAUGUUUUGAGUUCCCAAAUUCUACUCCAAACCCUGUGAAUUUCUUUAAAAUAAAACCCGCAAGAUCGUUUUGCGCAGCAACAAAUAGUAAGGGAGCCUAAGGACAAUUAUUUUUCAAAACUAUAGGGUUACUCUUGCUAACAUCCAAAGAUAACUGAUGUUCGAUUGAAGACAAUGGCUAUGACAGGAUUAAAGUAUUAAGAAGGAGUUUUUUUUUACUUGUUUCAUGACAUGACCAUGUAAAACUGAAUUAAAAUCGUUGGUAAAGUCUUCAACAAGUUUCCCUUUUCUUUGCAAUCUCAAUGGCAGAUAGUACAUUUCUUGAAAUAUCAGGCAUCUUUUUCCCUUGAGGAAACCUUUUUGUUUGUUUCCUAUUUUGGAAUUUAAAAUUUGUUUAAUUUCACAAGAACACAAGAAAUAAUUCUGUAGUUCUCAUUGAGCACUGUAAUCGGUGUCCAAUUAUUAUUGUCCGUCACCACACCUUUCUGAGGGAUAAGCAAUCCGGCCUUUGGUAGCUACUUUCAAAGUUUCCCAUGGAUAUACAUGUACUUUCUCAUUAGGACAAAGUUGGGAGGUAACAUCAUCCACGCAAUGGAUAAAAAUACUUCCAUCUAUACCAUCGGGUCCAGAAGCUUUAUUACCAUUAAAAUGAUUUUUUAUGCAUUUGGAAAUGCAAUAUUACCUAAAAAUGGUCUGCAUUCCUAAUUUAGCCCACCACCAACAAGCCUUUGGAAGCGUGUAUGGAAGAGUUUCAAAAUUUCCUGUUAGUGAUUGAUUCUUAUGCCACGUUUAAUAAUUUUCGUGAUUACAGUGGUCAAUCGAUCUUUUCAGACUAAAUUGUUAAGACUUUUUUGUGGUAAGUUUCCAACACGAUUUUUUUUUUGUAUUCUGUCUCAGCUAUCUCUGAAGUACAAAAUAGGUUUGCAGUAUAUUUUGUAAUUUUGUGUAAAAAUGGAAAACCAUUAUCUAAAACAUUUUCAAAAUCCUUUUGGAACAUUAAAGUUUUCCUCUUUUUUCUAAGAGUAUAUUGUAAGGUGGUGAAUCUAACCUUGUAAAAAAAUAAAUUAGCGAUAUUUUUCGGAUUAAAAGGAAGCUAAAAAUUAUGAAUUAAACUUGUUUGUAGUACUUUGAUAAAAUUUUCGUCCUACACUGCCCAUUUGGGUAUUCUCAAGGUUAAUAGAAAUAUAGGGGCAUACUUGUUGAUACUUUAUAAUAUGAAGAUCAAUAGAAGAACUUAUUCUGUCACUUCUUAGAUGAGGAAUGAUGAAAAGUAAUAUAUCAAAACUGUCUAUUUAGACAGAAAUAAUAACUGAACGAUGUACUUACGAUCCCGAAAAAGACAAAAUGAGUCCUUAAAAACUCACUGACACCGAGCAAUUAAUGUAAAAAUCACUGAAAACCACUUACAUUGCACCUGGGAGAUGCAUAAAAACAACUCCUUUAUGAACACAUACGAAUGUUCAAUCAGGUUUUGAAUACAAUUGAAUCUAUUUAAGAAAUGAUGUUCACUACUCACGAAUUAAAUAAUAAUGACAACUGUUAGGAAAAUAUAUUUAUAUUACCAAUUACAAAUUAACGGGCCAGCUAAAAAACAAACCAGAUUUACAUCAUUAAUCAUAAAAAAAGCUCCAACGACAUUACCAAAGCUUUUUGAAACAGUAAAUGACACAUUAGAACAUAUGAAGGGAUUAAAAUUGGAAAACCACCUGAAGAACAAGGAAGUUUAGGAUCCAGAAGCCGUAAUACAUACUAUAUCUUCUAGAGAUAUGGUUAUAUGGAAUAUAAAUUGAUUCGAAUCGUAAACUAACUGUUUAUUAUUAACAGUGGCGUAGACAGCUUUGUACACCUGGGGGGAGGACUGGGCUGUCAAUGAUAGUGAGAAUAAUUAAAAUGUAUAUAUAGUCAUCAAUACAGAAAAGAUGCAGCUACUGCAAGCUUAACAACAAACUAAUGUAUUACAGUUAGUCCUGAUAUCUCUAAUAGUGUAACAAUAGUCAUAUAGUGGGAGCAUGAAAUUGAACAAUUAAUGAUUAUACAUAAAUAUAUGUUUGUUUGAAUAUUACUUGUUAUAAAGAAAGUAAUGCAGUACUUUCUGACACGUAUUAUUAUGUAUACUGUUGUAUAACGUUCAUUUUCUAUUCUAUUUUAGAUUGCGCUGAUUUAUUUUGCGCACAUAAUAUAUUAAUGCCUAUAACACGAGUGGCCAGACCACAUAUAUUUUAAUAAAAUUGAAUUGAGAAAAUAACGUCGAUAUUAAUAUUUAAAUAAAUAAAUGCAUAUAUAUUUGUACAUAUAAAUAUCAUAUACCUGUAAUAUAAUCUGAUCUAAACUAACAAAUAAAUAUAAUACAUAUCACUCAUGAGAAGGUUUUGCUAGUACUAGGUUCGUGUCUGAAAAGUAGUCUCGAUGAAAAAAAAAAGAGUUGUUGCUUCAUUCCUAUACCAAAAAUAACACAAUAGCUUGAUUAACAGUUGCUAAUCAGAUAAUAGAGACAUACAGUAAUUGGUAAACUUACUUAAGGAACAUUCAUGGCUCAAUUAACAAACAUAUUACUUUUAGAAACUUACAAAUUUGUGUCUUAGAAACCAAAUAUCUUGCGCCACUUUUCGUUCUUACCUGCAAACUGAGGAACCACCAGAGGCACCACAUAGCAAAGCAAUUACUUAAGCUUAAAAUACCAUAUCCACAUAAAAUUACAUCUACGACAAAUAUCAUAGUCUCAUAAUUGUACAAAGUUCAUAUGAGUUCACCAAGUGGAAUCCAUCAUCAAAAGGGAUGUUUUUCAUCACAACAAGUUGAGUGAUUGGAGGCUUUGCUCCUCCAGAUAGUACUAGAACUCAUUGCUCUGUGUUACAUAAGUGACAUUAUUAUUUACAUUAAAUGAAAGAGGGCGAUUCUUCCGCCUGCCGAGCUUAUUCCCUGGUGAAUUUUCCCAGGCCAAACUUACCAACGGCGAGCUUUUCAAUAUAUAUUUCUCCCUUAAAAAGUUAAAUAAGACUUUUCUGGCUAACUGCCUUAGCGCGUUCCCUCCACUCACCUAAUACGCACAUAACACGGCAUACGCUCGUAAUCCGCAUCCCUGAUUUUCAAUAGCUUCUUUCACAUGUUAAAAUACAAUUGUGAUCACACUUAUUAUUUUCAUCAUAAUUAUUAAUAAUAUUAUUAUUAUUGUUAUCAUUAUUCUUAUUACUCUUAUUAUCAUCGUUAAUACUUAUUAAGUAAGCGAUCUUGUAAAAUGUUCUAGAAGAUGCCUUCUAUAGGUUAAGACGAACGGUAUCAUAACUUCAUUAAUUUGAAUGAUAUUAAUUGGGAAUUCAUCUACUAUGAGCUAUGCACUGGCCUUAAACUUCCCGGAUCUUUUGAAGAAAACACUCAGCUCCUUAAUCCAUUGGAUGGCAUCUCUAUCAACGGGACAAUCGGAGACUUCAUGCUGCAUAAUUAGAUAAGCUAUAUGUGAUGCACGGUGGAAGUAGAGAGCGAGGGGUUGGCGGUCCUUCUUGGCAUUCUUUGUACUGGCCCAGCAUGUUGGCUACCCCAUCAUAAGUUUGGGUUCUCAAAUUGUCAGUCGACAGUGACAGGCGGUUGAUUACAUCAAAAAUCAUUUUCUAUAUCAUUUCCCCCGAUGUGGACGGCAACUCAUAAAAUAUCACAAACUCUUCAUGCACAGCCAGAUUGUCAUCAACAUGGUGAAAGUAGAUAGCCUCUUUCUCGAAUCUUAAAGGUAUUAACUCAAAAUAAAGAAAAAGUCGGAGUAUCGCAUCGUCAACCAAUAUAGGUAUAAUAUACCAAAAGAGAAACAACUGGAUAACAUUAACAAUUGCCUUCAAUAGUAGAAAAUAAGGAAGACGAACAAUAACAUGGAAUAAUCAUGACAUUAGUAAACUAUCUAAUAAUUAGGGUUGCUACUCUUGUUAUGGUAUGAGCACGCCGCAAUUGCUAUCUGGAAAUUAUUGCAUAACAAUCCAUAUGCAUUGGCUUUUACUUAACGGCUUAAUGAUUAUAAAUUUACUAAUAAUUUUUACACUUCUAGGAAUCUUUGAUAUAAUAAUACCAUGCGUGCGUCAAAGAAAACAAAAUAAGUAAAAGUCUGUCUUAUAACGAAUAAUGUGACAUUAAAUAUAACAAGAUAAGCGCUGACUGCGAAUAGAAAUCAAAAUAAAUACGAAAUAGAAGAAUAAAAAUGGAGAGAUGCUAUGUUAGUGUGGGUGUGGCAGAUGUGACACUUAACUGUAAACUUAUUCAGUUCUCCUGGUAUUAUAGAUCAUUCAAGUUAACUUUCCUUUUAUAAUUACUUAUGUGUAGCCCGUUGAGCAAGCUUCAUGAACAUUACUAGUAAAACACUAUGGUAAAACUUGGUAUCAGAAGCAAGAUCAUAGAGAUAUACUGGCAGAAAAUAAGAGCGAGUGGACGUUUCAAGGAAACAUGAAGAUAAGGAUGAACAUAUCUAGGGAGAAAUCAAAUUGGAAACACUUUUAAUCAAUUAAAAAAGGGAGAUCAAAUCCAUUUUACAAGAGUUGAAACACGAUUUACAUUAUGUUAAGUCAUCUGUAGAUGAAAACAGGUUCACUAAGAGACACUCUAUUCCAAUACAAGAGAAAUAUGAAGGAACUGAUAAUCUCAUUACUAUGUCAUGGAUAUUCCCUCAAGAAUGUAUUUUUUCGAUCAGGUUUAAUAAGAGGUCCUUUCUUCAUACUCACUAAAAAAGACAAGGUGCGAUUAGAAGUUAGAUCUUAAGGAGAUAAAAAGAAAUCCUGUAUAAAAAUUAGCUUUUUCUUCCACAAAAUUGAAUCAUAAUUGAUAAUUGCUUUUGGAGCACUCUUUCAAAUUUCAACUCCGAAAAAUGAAAUUGUCCGACAAAAUUUUUCACCAGACUAUACACAAUUUUAUAAUUGAUUACAUAGAUUAAAAAUGAGGGUAUUCAAUGGAAGAUGGUAUAAGUCCCCGUCUCUGGGUUCAUAAUUCAUCUUUUUUGAACACUAAUUAAUUAUUAUCUUUUACAAUUAUUAUUUAAUGGAAGAAUUAUUUAUUUUCAAGGCUCUAUCGAGUAGGUUGCCUUUUGAAUUGAUGUUAUAAGAAAAGUCCAUUUAUCAGGAGGCCAAACGAAAAAAAAGUUCUUAAAAAGUGUCAAAGUUCGACUGCAUCCUCACUUUCUGUCUCUAAUCCUUCCUUCCUAUCAAACUAUCAAAUAAAAAUCAGAUCAGAAUGAUUGCAUUCAUAUGUAGUCUAUUUCUUCAUCUAAAAUCCAUGAAGAGAUUUUGAAAUGUAUUCUUGUAUCAUGGAUUAUACUAGAUUGUUAUAGAUCCAUUUGGGGACAUCAUCCAUGAAAAUUCGCCAUUAAUUUGUGAAUAUAAUAUAUAUAUAUAGAUCUAUAUACUUUAUUUAUUUGUCACCAUGCUAGAUUGUGCUUUUCUCGCUUUUACUCUUCAUUUGUGCUACCCUCGCUGUAAGCACAAAUGUAAAUUACCUAUCCCCACUUGUUGAUAGAGAGGUAAAUAUUUUCGGUGUGGGCUUCAAAGAUAAAUAUGCAGAAUUUUUUUUUGAAAAAUAGUUGGGUAUGCUUCUGGCUUAAGUUUACGACCCUAAAAAGCAAUAUUAUUGUUACUUUUAGAUCCUUUAAAAAAUAAAUAUUAUUGUUACUUAUAGAUCCUUUAAUAACCAAUAUUCUUGUUACUUUUAGAUCUUAAAGGAUUUUUAUCUUUUCUUUGUAACUGGUAACAUGGUUCGUGAAAAUUGGGACUACAAACCAGUGCAUAUUUUGAAGGCAUAAAAUCUUUUCUGGAUAUGGACCUCAGAAACUUCUCCUUAAUUUCUUCAUUCUUUGGAAAUGUAUGUAAGGUAUAUUUUGAUUCAGUUGCUGCAGAAAUAGAAUCAAGUUCGUUUCCUUUUGAUUCACAAUAUCCAUUUCUACAUCCUGGGCAGCAGCAGGUCAACAUUUCUGAAAUGAUUAUAUUUUGUAUGUUACAGUUAUUCUAAAUAUCUAAGGUUAAUGCAGAAAAUAAAAAUACUGUUUAAAUAAAUAUAAAAGAGAUUUCGUAUUUCCAAUAAAACGCUGUAAAACGGACGACUUUUUUAAGUUUUAAAAUCACAAAUAUAAAUACCAAUACUAUAUAAAUAGCAACGUUUAACAUGGAAACAACAAAAACAAAAAAAAAUUAAACUUAGUCACAGGUACUAAACAACAAAUAGGAUCCUUUUUUUACUCCAAAGUAUUACUGUUUCCCAUUCCUUGUAUUAGUACGUGUGUUAGGGCUUGGGGGAAGAUCAAUUUGCUUAGUGGCCUCGCCAGAAAAAGAGAGUAUGUAGUCAUACAAGAAAUACUCCUAAUCCCAAUAGACUCUUUCAUACAUUAUUUUCCAUAUUUCUUCAAGUUGUUUACAGUCACAAAAACAUGGGCCAACGAUUUCUUUUUAUUGCACUUUUCGCAGGGCGUACCUUUCUCUUUAUGUUACACACCCCAGUCGACCUGUUAUAUCAGAUAGAACUGCACAAGGGUGAAAUAUGGAUCGGAAAAUGACCUCCCAUAUUUUUUCUGGUACAUUUUAUCCACUUUGAUGCAUUUUAUGGUGUUACAGAGGUCGUAUGGAUGGUCUCUUUUUCUCACUCACUCCUUAAUGAUUUUGUUCUUAAAAUUUAGCGCUACUCUUAGUUGAGGUGGUUUUUCUGUUGGCUUUAAAACUGUGAAGAACUAUGUAGCAUAAGCAUGAUCGGAUGACUAAUUUUAUUCUAUUUAAUAACAUCAUUUAAGAUGUUUAGAGCCAGCCCCUAUCUGAUAUUAUUAGAGAGAUCUAUUUUGACCUGUGGGUUUCCAUUUAAUGGGCCAUUCGCCCCAACUGAUCUCCAAUGCACUUUGAGGAUGUCGUUGGAUAGCUUUAAUCAUUUUAUGAAGAUGAUGUCGUUGUAUUUAUGAAGGUCCCUCUGAAUGCUUCAUGUAUAAUAUUUUGAAGGAUAAUCCACAAAAUUUGCUCCCUUGUACCAAUAGAAAAUACCAACUUCCUAGUGCAACUCUAGGUCCAACAUUCCGAGUCCCCCUCCAGUCAUUGGUAAGAAGAGUUUCCAUUGAAUGAUUGAUUUUGGAGUGUCCACAAACUCUACAUACCUCUUCAAAUCCUGGUCUUCAAUUUGUCGAAAGGGGUACGUCGUAGAAUACGAUUUAGUCUCGAAAUUAUUUUCAUUUUCCAAAGUUUUAUUUUAUCUAGAACUCCCAAGUUUUUUCUUCUAGGUUUCUAUUAUUGAGCGAGAUAUCCUCUCAUUUAUCCGAUUUAUGAUCUGGAAUCUACAGUCAUAAAAUUAAACCUAAUUGACUUACCAAUGCUUUUUUAACGAGAUAAGUAGCACUAUUUUAUUUUCUUGAGUUUGUCAAUAUCUACAUUAUUAUGUUUUUUAUCAUUACUUACCAAACCAUACUAUCUUCCAUAUUAUUUUAAGAGCGUCUCCAGGCUAGCACUUUCUUUGUCAAAUGUGUUGUGUCAUAGUAUCACCAUGCAAUCAUCUGCAAAAAAAAACAGGGUUCUCACUGCCUUUGAAAAGAGACUGGUACUUAUGGAAUCCCCUCAACGCAUUCCUCUUUGCAAUUCUACCAAUGGGUCUCCUUCUAUAUGAAUGACUAAUUUUGUGUUGGAUAAUAUAUAUUUAAUUGUGUUGCAAUGUAAUUGAGUAUUCCUAUAUUUUUCAUCUCACUUAAUAUGAAUGUAUGUUCAAUUGAAUUGAAAGCUUUUGUAAAAUCCAAGAAAAGAAAUGAAAAACCUUGGGUUCUCUGCUCUGAGCAUUCAACAAUCGAUUGGAGAAAUAUUACUUCAUCUCCCGUUUGUCUGUCCUUCCUAAAGGCAAAUUGAGUAUUUGGGUUCCUCUUUUUGUUAUUGGUUUCAUAUGAUACGUCCGAUAUCCUCUGUAAAUUUUAAAUUAUAUCCCCAAUAUAGUUGCCUGCUUCCAGUUCAGUUUCUAUUUUUUGUACAUAUUAUUAUAGGAGAAGGAGCUAUGGUUCCCUUUUUCGUCCUUUCCUCAGACCCAUUUCCUAAAAAAAUAUUCAUUAUAUUAUUCAGCCAGAAAUUUGACUAUUUCUGGUAUCAUCGAUUGGAUUACUACUACAUCUCAAACAAAUAUUUAUUUGCGCAAUACCCGCAUACUUAGUUUUAAAAGUUAAUAUUUAGGCUAAGGACGUUAAGGAGGAGCCCGUAUGGCGUAUUUUCUUAAUUAUUUUUAUCUAUACUACCAUGGUAGCUAUGUAUAUGUCCGCCUAGGUACCCAAGGGUCUUAACCUUCGAUACUCAUAAGCCUUUCUUCACUCUGUCUAUGCAGGAAUUCUUGUCAUUUGAGAUAAUAUCUUAUAAAUUCAAGGUUAAUAAAAAUAAACGUUGAUACCAUAAUACAUGUACGAUUGAUGUUUGACUUCCACCACGCCUUUUACUAUUGACGUCAUAUAGUAUGAAUGGUUGCAUAUUUUGUUAAAAUCUGUCUUUCUGACCAAACAGUCGGUACGAUACAUCAAAUUGGAAAUACUAGCAAUCCCGAUUAUAUAAUGGUCUAACCUUGGAUUUCUAUAACCCUUGGUAUAAAUUGAAAACAUCUUUAUUGUUGUAAUUCCACUUAUAAGAAAAGUACUAAACUGCUUUUACAGAAAUAGUAAGUCAUUAAAUGGGCACUCGAGUUUUUAAAUUUUAGU